rnacentral:rRNA from 1 species
UGGGGAAUCUUGGACAAUGGGCGCAAGCCUGAUCCAGCCAUGCCGCGUGGAUGAUGAAGGCCUUAGGGUUGUAAAAUCCUUUCGCCGAGGACGAUAAUGACGGUACUCGGAGAAGAAGCUCCGGCUAACUUCGUGCCAGCAGCCGCGGUAAUACGAAGGGGGCUAGCGUUGUUCGGAUUUACUGGGCGCAAAGCGCGUGUAGGCGGGUCGUUAAGUUGGGGGUGAAAUCCCGAGGCUCAACCUCGGAACUGCCUUCAAAACUGGCGACCUGGACCUAAGUAGAGGCAAGUGGAAUUGCGAGUGUAGAGGUGAAAUUCGUAGAUAUUCGCAGGAACACCAGUGGCGAAGGCGACUUGCUGGACUUAUGGUGACGCUGAGACGCGAAAGCGUGGGGAGCAAACAGGAUUAGAUACCCUUGUAGUCCCUGAGCGGGCUGGCAAGGCGCAU